UACGUAGGCAGCGAGCGUUGUUCGGAGUUACUGGGCGUAAAGGGUGUGUAGGCGGUUCUCUAAGUUUGGUGUGAAAUCUCCCGGCUCAACCGGGAGGGUGCGCCGAAACUGGAGGCUAGAGUGCGGGAAGGGAGAGUAGGAAUUCCUGGUGUAGCGGUGGAAAUGCGUAGAUAUCAGGAGGAAUACCGGUGGUGCAGACGGCUCUUCGUGGACCGCGACUGACGCUGAGACACGAAAGCGGUGGGUAGCAAACAGG
rnacentral:rRNA from 1 species